ensembl:lncRNA
AUGUUAAUUAUUUCUGAAAUGUUUAUUAUUGAGCAGUUACAUUUCACUGCACUUCAUGAUGUUUAUGAAUCCAGAAUUCUUAAAGAACCUUUUCAGAUUUCUGGACGGAGUAAAUACUGCCCAGUUCUUGUGGCUCUGUUUAGUGACAGUGAUGAAGAUCCCCUGCCCUCGUCUGACCAUCAGUCCAUGGACACACCAAACACUUUUGAAGAGAAUCCCUGGUUUCCUCCUCACAGGUCAGAGAAUGUUGGAGGAAUGGCCAGGGCCUCUGAAACUGACCCCCAACCCAGGAUGAAGACCCAGCAAAGCAAUGUAAAAGGGAAAAGCAGGAGCUCUUUCUUUCAGUGGGUCUUUCAGUCGGCACUACAAGCUCUCCUGAUGAUCUUCACUCUGUGCUACAGCUCCUCACAGCCUCACAGAGGUGAAGCUGAUAGUGAUGAAGUUUGGAGCAGAGAAGAAUCCAACAGGAACCACAGCCCCGGGUAGAGAGAGACAGAGACAGAGACAGAGAGAGAGAGAGAGAACAGGGGAGUAGCAUUAUUCCUCCCUCACCCUCGAGUGCUCACAGUGGUGAUUAAACUGAGAGGAUUCACAGUUUAAUAGACAGAAUGCUGUGAUUUGAGGGAGAACAGAAGAGCUGGUUCUGUUUCCACGUGGAUCUGCUAAGAGAAACUUCUUUAAAACGUGUGGAGCUUCAGAAGCUUUUCAUUCAUUUCCUAUAUAAUCACAGAACUGAUAUACAUGUAAAUCUCCUGUACUGGAGGACUUUGCUUUUCUGGUGGACGUUAAAAUUAUUUUUCCAUCAAAUAUUAAAAUCAGUCACUCAUACCAGCAGUCAGACUGGUCUACCAGUAACCAGUGAGUGAUGCUCAGUGUUGAAGAAUUUGAUGAUUAUUGAUGUCCUACACCAUCUACCAUCUGUAGCAGACCAUCAGCCCCAUAGCAAAUAGAUUAGUUUGUGAAAUUCUGACAUUAAUGUGAAGUUUUCACUAAAACUACAAACAAAUAAAUUUAGAACAGGAAUCUUCCUCAAUGUGGAGGUACAGUUGGAGGUAUAAGAAUUGAGUGUGGAGGGAAAGUCUACAGUAAAGUACAGUUGGGGGUAUAAACAGUGGAUGUGGAUGAAAAGUCUACAGUAAAGUACAGUUGGAGGUAUAAACAGUGGAUGUGGAGGGAAAGUCUACAGUAAAGUACAGUUGGAGGUAUAAACAGUGGACGUGGAUGAAAAGUCUACAGUAAAGUACAGUUGGAGGUAUAAGAAGUGGGUGUGGAUGAAAAGUCUACAGUAAAGUACAGUUGGGGGUAUAAGAAGUGGAUGUGGAGGGAAAGUCUACAGGAAAGUACAGUUGGGGGUAUAAGAAGUGGAUGUGGAGGGAAAGUCUACAGUAAAGUACAGUUGGAGGUAUAAACAGUGGAUGUGGAGGGAAAGUCUACAGUAAAGUACAGUUGGAGGUAUAAACAGUGGAUGUGGAUGAAAAGUCUACAGUAAAGUACAGUUGGGGGUAUAAACAGUGGAUGUGGAGGGAAAGUCUACAGUAAAGUACAGUUGGAGGUAUAAGAAGUGGGUGUGGAUGAAAAGUCUACAGUAAAGUACAGUUGGGGGUAUAAGAAGUGGAUGUGGAGGGAAAGUCUACAGGAAAGUACAGUUGGGGGUAUAAGAAGUGGAUGUGGAGGGAAAGUCUACAGUAAAGUACAGUUGGAGGUAUAAACAGUGGAUGUGGAGGGAAAGUCUACAGUAAAGUACAGUUGGAGGUAUAAACAGUGGAUGUGGAUGAAAAGUCUACAGUAAAGUACAGUUGGAGGUAUAAACAGUGGAUGUGGAGGGAAAGUCUACAGUAAAGUACAGUUGGGGGUAUAAGAAGUGGGUGUGGAUGAAAAGUCUACAGUAAAGUACAGUUGGGGGUAUAAACAGUGGAUGUGGAUGAAAAGUCUACAGUAAAGUACAGUUGGGGGUAUAAACAGUGGAUGUGAAUGAAAAGUCUACAGUAAAGUACAGUUGGAG